GGAGAGGUGGCCGAGCGGUCUAAGGCGCACGCCUGGAAAGCGUGUGGGCGGGCAACCGUCUCGAGGGUUCGAAUCCCUCCCUCUCCGCCA
rnacentral:tRNA from 1 species